UACGUAGGGUGCAAGCGUUGUCCGGAAUUAUUGGGCGUAAGGAGCUCGUAGGCGGUUUGUCACGUCGGAUGUGAAACCCUGAGGCUCAACCUCAGGCCUGCAUUCGAUACGGGCAGACUAGAAUUCGGCAGGGGAGACUGGAAUUCCUGGUGUAGCGGUGAAAUGCGCAGAUAUCAGGAGGAACACCGGUGGCGAAGGCGGGUCUCUGGGCCGAUAUUGACGCUGAGGAGCGAAAGCGUGGGGAGCAAACAGG
rnacentral:rRNA from 1 species